UACGUAGGUGGCAAGCGUUGUCCGGAUUUACUGGGCGUAAAGGAUGCGUAGGCGGAUGUUUAAGUGAGAUGUGAAAUACCCGAGCUCAACUUGAGUGCUGCAUUUCGAAACUGGAUAUCUAGAGUGCAGGAGAGGAAAGCGGAAUUCCAAGGUGUAGCGGUGAAAUGCGUAGAUAUCUGGAGGAACACCGGUGGCGAAGGCGGCAUCCUGGACCGGUAUUGACGCUGAGGCGCGAGAGCCAGGGGAGCAAACGGG
rnacentral:rRNA from 1 species